CGUAGGGUGCGAGCGUUAAUCGGAAUUACUGGGCGUAAAGCGUGCGCAGGCGGUUCGCCAAGUCAGGUGUGAAAUCCCCGGGCUUAACCUGGGAAUUGCGCUUGAAACUAGCGGGCUUGAGUGUGGCAGAGGGGGUGGAAUUCCACGUGUAGCAGUGAAAUGCGUAGAGAUGUGGAGGAACACCGAUGGCGAAGGCAGCCCCCUGGGUCAACACUGACGCCCAUGCACGAAAGCGUGGGGAGCAAACAGGAUUAGAUACCCUGGUAGUCCACGCCCUAAACGAUGUCGACUAGGUGUUGGGGAAGGAGACUUCCUUAGUACCGCAGCUAACGCGUGAAGUCGACCGCCUGGGGAGUACGGUCGCAAGAUUA
rnacentral:rRNA from 1 species